CUUUGAUUUUAACAAUAAAUAAUAAAACAAAAUUGAAUAAACAUUAUAAGAGAAAAAAAACCCUGCUUGUUUAGAAGUGUUUUGAAACUUGAAUUAUCUAAAUAAACUGUGUUGCUUCUAAUUUCAGAUGGUUUUUUUCUCCUUGUGUUCUUGAAAAAUGAGAAAAAGACUAGCUGAAGUGGUAUAUACCUGUAAAAUCCCAGCUACUCUGGAGGCUGAGGCAGGAGGAUUGCAAGUUUAAGGCCAGCCUAGGCAACUUAGGCCCUGUCUCAAAAAGUAAAAAGUGCUGCAGAUGUACAUAGCUCAGUGGGAGAGUGCACCUGUGUUUAAUCUCCAGGGCCGAAGGAAGGAAAACGAGAAAAAUAUGAAUAGUCCUUGGUUCACACAGUCAUUAUAUGUAAAACAAGCCACAAAGAAUUGCUUUCAUCAGGUAAGGAAAUAAAGUUCCAGAGUACUCCUUCCACACUCUAUCUGCCUUUGCUUUAUCCUGCUUCCUCCUUUCCUCUCACAUUUUUUUUUUUCUUUUGUGGUAGUUCUGGGGAUCAAAUCCAAGGGCAAUCUACCACUGAGCUACAUCCGCACCCUUUUUAUUUUUUAUUUUGAGACAGGGUCUCUUGUUAAGUUGUUCAAGUGUGACAGAUUUUCAAUCCUCCUGCCUCAGCCUCUCAAAGAGCUGCAAUUAUAGGUGUCCCCUCAUUCUUAAAAAUGUCAUUACUGCCUGGAGUUUUAUAUGACAAGCCAAAGACCUUAGGUAGUUCUCAUUCCAGUCAAGCAAGAGAGCAAUAGACAUAUAAAUACAUAAUCUCACAUCAGGAAAAGUGAUACACUGAAGAAGAAACUAAGAACAAAUUACAGAUAUUCCUCAUUUAACAACCUACCUGUUUAUAAAGACUGUUCAGAUUUAUGCUUCACCACUUGGACUUGUCGCCCAUCUCUUUUUUUUUUAAGUACACUUCUGAAUAUCUUGUUUAGAGCCUCAGUGUCUUUUUUGUACAGUACAC
rnacentral:lncRNA from 1 species